GCGGCCGUAGUCUAGGCUGGAUUAGGACGCCGGCCUUCCAAGCCGGUGAUCCCGGGUUCAAAUCCCGGCGGCCGCA
rfam:Sulfolobus solfataricus P2, complete genome.